UACGUAGGUGGCGAGCGUUGUCCGGAUUUACUGGGCGUAAAGGGAGCGUAGGCGGACUUUUAAGUGAGAUGUGAAAUACCCGGGCUCAACUUGGGUGCUGCAUUUCAAACUGGAAGUCUAGAGUGCAGGAGAGGAGAAUGGAAUUCCUAGUGUAGCGGUGAAAUGCGUAGAGAUUAGGAAGAACACCAGUGGUGAAGGCGAUUCUCUGGACUGUAACUGACGCUGAGGCUCGAAAGCGUGGGGAGCAAACAGGAUUAGAUACCCCGGUA
rnacentral:rRNA from 1 species